UGGUCCGGGAGGAUCCCACAUGCUGCAGAGCAACUAAGCCUGUGUGCCACAACUGCUGAGCUUGUGUUCUAGAGCCUGUGAGCCACAGCUGCUGAGCCCACAUGCCACAACUACUGAGGCCCGCAUGCUUAGAGCCUGUGCUCUGAAACACGAGAAGCCACUGCAACGGAAAGCCCUCACACCACAAUGAAGAGUAGCCCCCAGUCGCCACAACUAGAGAAGGCCCACGCAUGACAAUGAAGAACCCAACGCAGCCAAAAAUAAAUAAAUAAAAUAAAUUUAUUUUAAAAAAUGGUCUAAACACACCAGUUAAUAAGGCAGAGAUGAACCAAAAUGAAUAAAUAGCAAGACCCAAUAAUGUCUGUCUAGAGGAGAUAGAUAUAAAAUCAAAAGUUGAGGGUAAAUGGAUGGGGAAUGUCCUUUGGGAUUCCUCCUGCUAUGUACUAGAAACCCUGAACAUUGUUUAUAAACAUAAGAUGACCAAAAGAUGGAGAGAAGGCAGACCAGCUAUGCGUGUUAGAACUCACAGAAUGAUAGAAUGGUGAGUUCCCUGAGUUUUCUAUUUGCCUCAUAUCCCAGGCUUGGAACUGAAGAAGCUAGCAACCUGGAAAUGCCAAUGGAUGCAGACAAGAAAGCCCUGCAAAAAGCCUGUCUUCUCUUCAAAAGAUCAGGGAGGGGCAGGUUAGCAAGACAGAAAACAUAUUAUUUUACACAGUAACCUCUCUGCUUCAGCCAAAUACCACAGAGAACACUGCAGCUUCACCCAAACCACCAAAGGCCAAGUGUGGAGCCUGGACUUCCAUCUUUGCCAGCUUAUAAUGAAGUACCUCUGACGUGAAUCCCAUCCCAUUGGGUUGAUGUCAGAGGAGGCCUGAUGGAGAGUCAUAACAUUCACCUUUGCUCAGCAUUAAGGAGCCCCUUCCCCCAACUUCAGGUAUUAACAGAAGCUAACUAGGGAGCUUGGACUACUUUACUACCUGGUAGUAACUGGGCAACAAACAACAUCCUCCUUUCUGCUCCUAAAGUGGUGUCAGCGGAAACCAACUGAAGCAGAAAGUUUAUGAUCUAGAGUCUCAUAAUAUAAUAACCAAUAUGUCUAUGUCUGUUUCAACAAAAAGUCACAUGUCAUUCCUAGAACCAGGAAUAUCUUGAGUGAAAAAGACAAUAGAUACCAACACUGAGUUGCCAUAGAUGCUAGAAUUAUCUGACACAGAUUUUAAAGCUUCAACAAGCAAUUAAGACAUGUUUUUGAGACAAAUGAAAACAGAAUGUCUCCGCACAAAAAAGAGGAAGUCUCAGCAAAGAACUAGAAGAUAUAAAGAACCAAAUGGAAAUUUUAGUAAUGAAAAAUACAAUAACCAAAAUAAAAAGCAUAAUGGAUUGACUCAAGAGGGGAAUGGAUGGGAUGGAGAAAGGAAUCAGUGAAGUUGAAGGUAAACAAUAGAAAUUACACAAUCUGAACAAGAGAGGAAAUAGACUAGGGAAAAAAAGAAUCCAGCCACAGGUACCUGUGGGACUAUAACAAAGAAGCUAAUAUUCAUGUCAUCAGAGAACCAGAAGGAAAGGAGGAGGGCAGGGCUAGAAAAGUAUUUGAAGAUAAUAUUGUCUGAAAACUUCCCCUGUUGAGCAAAGACAAAUCUCAAUUCAAGAAGCUGAGUGAAUUUAAGAAAUCCACAUCAGUAUGUAUCAGAGUCAGACUUAGGAAAACUAAAGACGGAAGUCUUGACAGCACUGAGGAAGAAGGGCACCUUACAUAUAGAGAAAAAUAAUUUGAAUGACAGAAGAGGCCAGAAAGAGGCACAAUAUUUUUCAAAUACUGACAGAACUGUCAACAUAGAUUAUCUGGUGAAAAUAUCUUUCAGGAAUGAAGGAGAAAUCAAAACAUUCUCAGAUGAAGGAAAACUAAGGAAAUUUGUCAACAACAGACCAAUGCUAAAAUGAAUGUUUAAGGGAAGUUCUGUAAACAGACCAUUAAAGGAGGAAUCUUGGAACAUCAGGAAGGAAGAAAAUAGAGUAAGUAAAAAAUAAGGGUAUUAUAGUUGCCUGAAACAAAAGCACCUUCAGUUGUAAGUCUUAACGCUGGAUCUUGUUGGAGACUCUGCAGCCUCCCUGGCAGCGAGCACAUGGACAGGUGCAGUGACAGGCUGGGAGAAACCUGUGACAUUGUUGGGCCGCCCUGAUGGAGCACAAGCUUGUGAAGAAGCUGCAUGUAGAUUUCACCCUCAGUAUCAGUGAUGCAUCAAACCAGAGAAUUUCUAGCAAGUCCCGUGAGCAUGCAAUAUGGUUUCUUGGAAAUAUGCAUUUCCCCAUCCCCAAAUAAAAUAGAUAACCACUCCUGGACUUCCCUUGUGGCUCAGUGGGUAAGGAAUCCACCUGCCAAUGCAGGAGAUACAGGUUUGAGCCCUGGUCUGGAAAGAUCCCACAUGCUGUGGAGCAACUAAGCCCAUGUGCCACAACUACUGAGCCUGCACUCUAGAGCCCGUGUGCCACAACUACUGAAGACUGCGUGCCUAGAGUCUGUGUUCCGCAACAAGAGAAGCCCCCACAGUUAGACGCCUGCGCACCACAGCAAAGAGUGGUGCACAAGCAACAAAGACCCAAAGCAACUAAACAAAUAAAUAAUUAAUUAAUUUAAAAAAUAAAGAUAACCACUCCUAAUUUUUUUUAAAAUUAAUUAAUUCAUUUAUUUUUGGCUUUGGCCAUUAUUAGGGCAAGAUUUCAUUUAAUUCCCAAUCAAGCAAGUACUUGUAAGUAUAAAUUCUGUAGGAACAUAAUACAAUCUUCCCGGUGUCUUUCAAUUGAGGAUAACCCAGGCACCGAAGUUCAAGGAAACCUGCUACUCCAGUGAGGAGUUUAACACCACCAAACAAAACUUAGGAUCAUCAGCCAACAAUGGGAGGUCAGAGACACAGGAGAGACUCACUUAAAUUCAUCUGGACCCUUAGAGGAGGCAGACGGGCACAAGAGGCCUCUGCUGGUACCCAGGCUCUGGAUCC